GGACGACGCUGGCGGCGUGCUUAACACAUGCAAGUCGAACGGAAAGGCCCCCACCUUGGUGGGGGUGCUCGAGUGGCGAACGGGUGAGUAACACGUGGGUGAUCUGCCCUGCACUUCGGGAUAAGCUUGGGAAACUGGGUCUAAUACCGGAUAGGACCAUGGUUUAGUGUCUCAUGGUGGAAAAAUUAUUGUUUUGGUGCAGGAUGAGCUCGCGGCCUAUCAGCUUGUUGGUGGGGUAAUGGCCUACCAAGGCGUCGACGGGUAGCCGGCCUGAGAGGGUGGACGGCCACAUUGGGACUGAGAUACGGCCCAGACUCCUACGGGAGGCAGCAGUGGGGAAUAUUGCACAAUGGGCGCAAGCCUGAUGCAGCGACGCCGCGUGGGGGAUGACGGCCUUCGGGUUGUAAACUCCUUUCGUUAGGGACGAAGCCGCACCUUUUUUGGGUGUGGUGACGGUACCUUUGUUAAGAAGCACCGGCUAACUAC
rnacentral:rRNA from 1 species